GAUGAACGCUGGCGGCGUGCUUAACACAUGCAAGUCGAACGAAGCAUGUUUAGCUUUCGGGCUAAACAUUACUUAGUGGCGGACGGGUGAGUAACGCGUAGGUAACCUGCCUUAUACAGGGGGAUAACAGCUGGAAACGGCUGCUAAUACCGCAUAACACAGAGUAUUCGCAUGAAUGUUCUGCCAAAGAUUUAUCGGUAUAAGAUGGACCUGCGUCUGAUUAGCUAGUUGGUGAGGUAAUGGCUCACCAAGGCGACGAUCAGUAGCCGACUUGAGAGAGUGAUCGGCCACAUUGGGACUGAGACACGGCCCAAACUCCUACGGGAGGCAGCAGUGGGGAAUAUUGCACAAUGGGGGAAACCCUGAUGCAGCGACGCCGCGUGAGUGAAGAAGUAUUUCGGUAUGUAAAGCUCUAUCAGCAGGGACGAUAAAAUGACGGUACCUGACUAAGAAGCCCCGGCUAACUACGUGCCAGCAGCCGCGGUAAUACGUAGGGGGCAAGCGUUAUCCGGAUUUACUGGGUGUAAAGGGAGCGUAGGUGGUAUGAUAAGUCAGAUGUGAAAGCCCAGGGCUUAACCCUGGGACUGCAUUUGAAACUGUCAAACUAGAGUGCAGGAGAGGUAAGUGGAAUUCCUAGUGUAGCGGUGAAAUGCGUAGAUAUUAGGAGGAACACCAGUGGCGAAGGCGGCUUACUGGACUGUAACUGACACUGAGGCUC
rnacentral:rRNA from 1 species